GGUCCGAUGCCACGUUGUCAAUAGCGAAUUAGCAGUGACCGGCGAUGCUAUGAUUAGACCAAAAUUGAUUCCAUGUUUUGCUUGUCGAUAGGAAUCUGUAGACUGAUUUUUAUUCCAUUCAUCUGCGGAGCCGUUUUCUGCGAUCACAUUU
rnacentral:snoRNA from 1 species